UCCUGCCGGACCUGACUGCUAUCGGAUUGAUACUAAGCCAUGCGAGUCUUUGUAGUAAUACAAGGCAUACGGCUCAGUAACACGUAGUCAACCUACCCUAUGGACAAGAAUAAUCUCGGGAAACUGGGCAUAAUUCUUGAUAGAUCAUAAUGCCUGGAAUGGUUUAUGGUUAAAAUGAUUCGUCGCCAUAGGAUGGGACUGCGGCCUAUCAGCUUGUUGGUGAGGUAAUGGCCCACCAAGGCGAUUACAGGUACGGGCUCUGAGAGGAGAAGCCCGGAGAUGGGUACUGAGACACGGACCCAGGCCCUAUGGGGCGCAGCGGGCGAGAAAACUUUGCAAUGUGCGAAAGCACGACAAGGUUAAUCCGAGUGGUUUCUGCUAAAGGAACCUUUUGUUAGUCCUAAAAACACUAACGAAUAAGGGGUGGGCAAGUUCUGGUGUCAGCCGCCGCGGUAAAACCAGCACCUCAAGUGGUCAGGAUGAUUAUUGGGCCUAAAGCAUCCGUAGCCUGCUCUGUAAGUUUUCGGUUAAAUCUGUAUGCUCAACAUACAGGCCGCCGGGAAUACUGCAGGGCUAGGGAGUGGGAGAGGUAGACGGUACUCGGGAGGAAGUGGUAAAAUGCUUUGAUCUCUCGAUGACCACCUGUGGCGAAGGCGGUCUACCAGAACACGUCCGACGGUGAGGGAUGAAAGCUGGGGGAGCAAACCGGAUUAGAUACCCGGGUAGUCCCAGCCGUAAACUAUGCAAACUCAGUGAUGCAUUGGCUUGUGGCCAAUGCAGUGUUGCAGGGAAGCCGUUAAGUUUGCCGCCUGGGAAGUACGUACGCAAGUAUGAAACUUAAAGGAAUUGGCGGGGGAGCACCACAAGGGGUGAAGCCUGCGGUUC
rnacentral:rRNA from 1 species